rnacentral:rRNA from 1 species
CCUCCUUUCUAAGGAAGAUGU